rnacentral:rRNA from 1 species
CCUACGGGGGGCAGCAGUAGGGAAUAUUGCACAAUGGAGGAAACUCUGAUGCAGCGACGCCGCGUGAGUGAUGAAGGCCUUCGGGUCGUAAAGCUCUGUCGCAGGGGAAUAUGUACCCUGCAAGAAAGGAUCGGCUAACUUCGUGCCAGCAGCCGCGGUAAGACGAGGGAUCCUAGCGUUGUUCGGAAUCAUUGGGCGUAAAGCGGGUGUAGGUGGCUUUGUAAGUCAGGUGUGAAAUCCCAGGGCUCAACCCUGGACGUGCAUUUGAUACUGCGAAGCUUGAGUGUAGGAGAGGAAGAAUUCCUGGUGUAGUGGUGAAAUACGUAGAUAUCAGGAGGAAUACCGGAGGCGAAGGCGGCUAUCUGGCUACACUGACACUCAGACCCGAAAGCGUGGGGAUCAAACAGGAUUAGAUACCCUAGUAGUC